rnacentral:rRNA from 1 species
GGUCCCUAUCCGUCGCGGGCGUAGGAAAUUUGAGAGGAGCUGUCCUUAGUACGAGAGGACCGGGAUGGACAUACCUCUGGUGUACCAGUUGUGCCGCCAGGCGCAUCGUUGGGUAGCUACGUAUGGAAGGGAUAAACGGUGAAAGCAUCUAAGUGUGAAGCCCCCCUCGAGAUGAGAUUUCCCAUUCCUUUAUGGAAGUAAGAUCCGUUAGAGAAUAUGACGUAGAUAGGCUGCGGGUGGAAGUGUAGCGAUACAUGGAGCUGAGCAGUACUAAUAGAUCGAGGACUUAAUCGA